rnacentral:tRNA from 1 species
GCCAUGGUGGUUCAGCGGCCGGUGAACACCGGCUUGCGCUUGGCGACGAAAGCCGAGGUGCCUUCGCGCGCGUCGGCGGUGCGGGCACAGGCCUUGAGCAGUUGCUGUUCCAGCGACAGGUAGGCCUGCAGCGAGAGCGAGGGGCCUUCGAGUGCGAGCCGCUUCAUGGCG